rnacentral:rRNA from 1 species
AGCAGCCGCCGCGGUAAUACGAAGGGUGCAAGCGUUACUCGGAAUUGCUGGGCGUAAAGCGAGCGUAGGUGGUGGUUUAAGUCCGUUGUGAAAGCCCUGGGCUCAACCUGGGAAUUGCAGUGGAUACUGGGUCACUAGAGUGUGGUAGAGGAUAGUGGAAUUUCCGGUGUAGCUGUGAAAUGCGUAGAGAUCGGAAGGAACAUCUGUGGCGAAGGCGACUAUCUGGGCCAACACUGACACUGAGGCACGAAAGCGUGGGGAGCAAACAGGAUUAGAUACCCCAGUAGUCCCUGUCUCUUAUAC